CACUGCAGGGGAGCUGGACCACAUGACCUUUAAAGGUGCCUUCCAAAUGAAAUGAUUCUAUGACUAAGAGCUGCAGAACUGUCUUAUAAGUCUGGAAGUGCUGGUCACAGCAGGGCUGUGUGCAGAGAGCUGUGUGAUGAGCCAGGAUAUAACUGCACAUGCUGUGCAGUCGCUGUGUCUACAGGUCAGCGGCAUGGCUUGCGUAGCUGACUCCAGAGCUGUGCCACAGCAUCUGCCGGGCAUUUGUUCUGUGGGCUUUUGAGCACCAUAUGGUUUUAAAAAUCAUAGUCAUAAUCUUGUUUCCCCAUUGGAACCCUAUCUUGAAGUAGGAAUUAUGAUCUUUUAUGAGAGGAGGCUGGAAGAAGUUUAGAUUAACAAAAGUUACAAGGAGAUUUGGCACCUGAAAGGAGGGUAAGCAUUAGUAGAUUAUCGUAUUGGUAUUGUUAUUUAAAUGUAAGACAAAUGUGUAUAAAAUGGGCAUUGUUGAAGUUAUACUGUGAAUUAGAAGAUUUGGUAUUUUCAGAGCAAUGAGACUGCGGAGCAACUUUCCUGCACUGAGAGCUGCAAGCCCAUCUGCUUUGAAAUCAAGUCCUGAUCAAUCUAUAAAAGUGCUUAUGUGAUACAGUUGCCUGAGGUAGCAGGAGACUAAACUCCAGAAGCUUUCCAAUUCCUUGUUUCUAUUUAAUGUUGCUUUUAAUGCUUAUUCCAUGUAUAAUUUAAUGCACGAUUUACUGCACAGCACUAUCAUCCAUUAAAUAAAAAUAUUAAUUUCCUUUAGAGCAUUUUAGAAAUGCUGUCAUCCUGCUAAACAUUAACAAUGUUAUCUGUGUAACACCAUUAUGAAAUGGAUGGCAUUAUCUUUUCUUAUGUCCAGGAAAUGAGAAAAUAACACCUCUAGAUACCUGUGUGGUGAAAUAUAAGGAUUCCUUUUGCAGUGUGUUGGACAAUCGAAGACAUUUCAACUUUCUAAUGCUUACGUGUAUUGAGAGUCCACUGACUUUAGUCUAUGGAUGUUCAGCAUCUCAGCAGCUCACAUAACAAAUUGCUCAACUGAGGUGGGGGAGAAAAUGAGGAAUAUACAUAACACAAGUUCCUUAGACUUGUAUGUGAAUUUGAGGAUUGAGUUAGAAUUCAGCUUUCUAGAGGUUUAAUCAUUUGCCAUAACUUUAAGGUUUCUUUCCCUUUCUGUAUCUCACCUUUUGCUCGGCUCUUGCCUGUAUUCUCCCCAGUCUUGCCCUCCUUCCUGUAACUCUUUACCCACUUCUACUUGCUGGCCUUUUCUUUUUCUCAGCUCCCAAGAAAACCUAUGAGUGGAGGAGAGGGCUUGCUUAGGAGGACUGAACAUUUAGUACUCUUAUAUGAGAGCUGGACUAUGGAGGCUUGAGAAAAUUUACAGGCAAAUUUUAAGACGUUUCCAGAGCAUACUCAAAUUGAGUUUUUUGUUAAGUUUAAAUUUACCACAUUUGGAUAGUUUUCCAUGAAACCUGCAAAAGACUUGACCUCAACUGGCCAACUUCCUGCUGAGUUUAAAGGAGCCACUCUAGUGGUUGGACAUGGUUUGGAGACUUGGGAACAAAGGAAUAAGGUGAAGGUCUUUUGUUACUCUAUUGUAUUUUGUGUUCACACUGGUGCUGGAGAUUGGCAAAAGUGCUCUUCAUGUUAAACCUACAUUAAAGGUAAAAAGACACACAUCUAUGAGGCAAAAGCAUCACCUGUCCAGUAAGUAACACAUAACUGUGAGCUUCUGGAACCAAGCUCUUUAUUCAACCUGACUCCACAUUGUAUCUGCAUUAUGUGAGGAAGGCCUUCCACAGGACUUCCUACGUUUUGAAAAUACUUGCAGGGGUUUGUUCAUUACUAUGUUAAACAAGUCACUUCAGGGAGGGCAAGCCUCUAAAGGAAGUGGUUGAGUGUGUAGCUUAUAAUGGGUGCAGUUUUUCUGUAAACUGUGUCCUCAUGGGAGAAGAGAAUUCACAACAUGUCUGGAUUAGGAAGGUGAGUGUCGGUGUGGGGUGGUGGCAUUGAAUUUCACUUCUGCUGCUGAGCACCAUUUGUCUGGUUUAGCUUGCUGCACAAUAAGUGUAUUUGUACUGGGAGUCAUUUGUCUUUGCUGCUGAAGGAUGAUGCUGAUGGUUAUUGAUACCUGCUGCUGGGGUAAAUGCUGCUGUAGCCUGAUAGACUGGAGCAACUAUUGAUCACGGUUGGUAGUAAAAUCUCAGUAUUUGACACAUGCUUUUUCAUACCAUUGCAGUUGUUAAUGUUAAAUUCCACUUCUCCCUCUGGAUGUGAAAUUACUAUCACAUUAUUGCGUAUAACUGUGUUUCUCUGCAUCUUUUCCUUCUGUGUUGUGUGGUACAGAGGAGUGGAAGAAGCUCUGAGGAGUGCAGUCAAAUCUCUUUUAUCCAAGUGAGCUGCCUACCUCCCUGCCGCAGGCCUGGGAGGAUGCUGGCUGAACACAGAGCAGUUCCUCUCUUCAUGCUGUUUGGAUAAGAACACAGGCCUGGCAGUGCUGGCCCCAAGCAGGUCCAAGGAACGAACCUCUUGCAAAGUGGCUCUUAAGCCUUAGGGCCAGUCUAGCUGCAGCUGCCAGGAGAGGGCUGUGAAGGAGUCCCAGAGGGAAUUCCUCUCCAGAAAUGCCAUGCAUGGGUCUAGCUACGCCUAGGGACAAAACUUUUGCAGAUAUCCCUCGGGCCUCUUUUUGUUUUGCCCGUCCCUGUUCCAAAAACUGUGACUUGCAAGGGGGAGGGCAGAGGAGCCAGCUGAGGCUAAAUAACACCCAUGAAAGUUGAGGUGUGUCAUUUUUUUGUGGAAAUGAAACAAACAGUCUUGUAAUGGAUUCUGUUCAGUUAAACUCAACUUGCUCUGCCAAAACAUCAUAAAGCGCCUGCUUUUGCAUGAACAAACAGGAGUGGCAGAAGUCACAGAGACUGCCAAGUAAAUGCUAUCCUCCUGAAGCUUCUCCUAUUGGGAGGUAACAAUAGGGCCCCUAGAAUUAAGAUAAAUGCAGCUAAUUUCCCCUUAAUGGUGAUUUGAUUAUUCUUUCUUUACAAGUAACUAGUUCCCUUUUCUAAUUAUAUAGCUUGCUUUUAUCCAAGAAAAAUUACCCAAUUUACGAGAGUGAACCAUUAAAGUCACUCAUCUGUGAAAAGCUUAUUGUAGUGCCAGCUUCAGAAAACAUCUAUAUUGCAAGGGAUACAUAUAGAUUUUUGUAUCUUCUGCUGUUUUGCUAACAGUCAUGACAAAUGAGAAAGCAGAUAGCAGGAAUGGAUGUGCAAGGCGGAAAUGAAACACACGGGGCUGGGAGCAUAGACCCUUACACCCACGUAGCAGGUCUUUAAAGCAGUGAGAAGUUUGGAGGGGAAGGGAGCACUGAGGAACAAGACAGAAAUGUGUAAUGUUACGCUGGUACUUGGUGACCCUGCACAUUGCAGGGGGGUUGAAACUAGACGACCAUUAUGGUCCUUUUCAAUCCAGGCCAUUCUAUGAUUCCUUCUCUGGCAGCUGCCCUAGGGCAGGCUCUCCAAAGGGGAGGAGAUGUGACUUCACCCAACCCGACUGCACAGCGGGAUGGGAAUGCUGGGGUAUAGCUAGGAGCAUGGUGAGUUUGUGAGAGAGCCUUGGGUUCUGCUGGUAGGCUGCUGCUGGCUGCUCUGAUUAGUCUGGUUAUCCAAAAUUGUGUAGCUAGGGAUGUAAGCAACAUAGCUGGUACAGAGAUGUACACCCUCCUACUAAUGAUCUUAUUAAAUCAGUGAACAGUUGCAAAAUGUAGACAAGCAUUUGAUCUGAAAGCAUCCGUUCUCUGUAUAAGUAAAACAUAAUCCUUUGCUCUAUGAUAUUAUCAUAUUAAUGGUGAUAGAUAUUUGAAGGUCAAGGAUUUGUCUGAAUAGGGAAGCUGACUGUUAAAGAAAUCAAAAAAAGCAUCUGUACAGUUAGGUAAGCUGGGGUAAUUCCCCAUGUGAAAACUGUUCUAGAAAAAAAGCCACUUUUAUUCUGAAAUGCUUCUGCUAAGGGAUCAAAACAGCAGAACUGCAAUUAUCAGAUUAUUCUCAGUGUUGGCAAGCCAUAAGAACAAAGGAUAUAAGGGAGAGGACAGAAAAGAUGGGGUAGGAAAGAAGGUAGAGAAGCAAUGCCUGUGGGACAACUAUCCAGACUCUUGUGAACUCUGCAAGCCAAAAUAAAGGUUGUAGAAAGAAUCAGAAAAGAAGUUUGUUUCAAGGUAAGAUAUUCUUUUCAAACUCUGUUUUGAAGUGUUCUUGUGUUAGCUUCGCAUGACAAUAGGAUGUGUGCAUACCUAACUUUUUCUUACAAUCUGUAAUGGAAAGAGUCUUGGUUAUGAAUUUAUUUAGGACUCAGUACAGCCUUCUUUGUAUGCAGAAAUCUGAGGACUAUGCCAAAGCAUGUUAGGUCUCUACCUAGUUGUGAUUACAUGUCCAGUACACAAUAGUGAUUUAUAUGCAGAAUGAAACAGUUUUUCAGUUGAAGAAGGGGAUGACAUAUGCAUAUAUGUGUGUAUGCAUAUAUGCGUAUUUUAGGCUAAUGCUCUUUGACAAGCCAAGAACAGGACACUAUGUCUGCAUCUUUAAUAACUGAGUUUCUUGUAGUGUUUAGCAUACAACAUCUUUGCUUUACUGAAAUAUUUUAUCAUGGUCAUAUACUGUGAUUAUAAGCAAGCUGCUUAAUGAUGACCCAUGCUAAUGCAAAUUGUAUCACUUAACUACUUGCAUUAAUAUUGUAGGAAGCCUCAGAUACACGGAAUGAGAAUCCAUGGAGCUGCAAGCAAGAGAAAAGCUUGAGACUAGUGAAAGAGCUCUCUAGGCAAUGAGUUGCCUCCUACAUUAGUGGGAUGAGCUUACCUAUGGGAAGUUUUCCCUUCUGGAGAAAACUAAGUGAGAGUUACUUCCUCCACCCCCUCCUUCACAUUCUGCUGCUAAUGAGAGAGUAAAGCUUUCUGUUGAGAUGGAAAAUGGCAAUCAGUUAUACCUCUCAAGUCUGGAAGGCCUUUCUGCUUGAAAUACUCUUUGAGUCUGGGUCGUGACACAAAGUGCUGUGCACUGGCGUUGGUGUAGUAAUGGGCUUUCUUUUUUGACCUGCACCCUGUUGUGUUCAGGUUUUUAAACCGUAAGGUAAUUAAACCAUUUUAAACAGCUCA